GUGGAUGUAGCUCAGUUUGGUUAGAGCAUCAGAUUGUGGCUCUGAGGGCCGUGGGUUCGAGUCCCAUCUUCCACCCCA
rnacentral:tRNA from 1 species